rnacentral:rRNA from 1 species
GGGCCCGCACAAGCGGUGGACAUGUGGUUUAAUUCGAUGAUACGCGAGGAACCUUACCAGGGCUUAAAUGUAGUGGGACAGGUCUAGAGAUAGACCCUUCUUCGGACUCAUUACAAGGUGCUGCAUGGUUGUCGUCAGCUCGUGCCGUGAGUGUCAGGUUAAGCUCCUAUAACGAGCGCAACCCCCAUCGUUAGUUGCCAGCGAGUAAUGUCGGGAACUCUAACGAAACUGCCAGUGCAAACUGUGAGGAAGGUGGGGGAUGACGUCAAAUCAUCACGGCCCUUACGUCCUGGGCUACACACGUGCUACAAAUGGCCGGUCACAGUAGAGCAAGCCACUUCGCAAGAAGGAGACCG